GUACCGUGAGGGAAAGAUGAAAAGAACUUUGAAAAGAGAGUUAAACAGUACGUGAAAUUGUUGAAAGGGAAACGAUUGAAGUCAGUCAUACCAACGGGAAAUCAACCUUUUGAGCUCGGUCUCGUGGGUUUUGAAGAGUUUCAAAGCCUUCGGAUUCGCGGGAUUGGGAUCUCUUGGCGUACUUUUUCGUACGGUUAGUCAACAUCGGUUUUGAAUGUCAUAAAAUGACUGGAGGAAUGUGGCUUCGAUCUCGUAUUGAAGUGUUAUAGCCUUUGGUAGAUGUGAUGUUUGAGACCGAGGAUUGCAACGGAUACCCUUCAGGGCUAUUCGUCUGAUCUCUGAUACGUUGCCUUGAUGUUGAAAGCUUGCUUAUGAUGUUAGGGUAUUACGGUCAAAAGGUUAGAACGAAUUACAUUCGUUAAGG
rnacentral:rRNA from 1 species